AGUCUGACGGAGCAACGCCGCGUGAGUGAUGAAGGUUUUCGGAUCGUAAAACUCUGUUGUCAGGGAAGAACAAGUGCCGGAGUAACUGCCGGCACCUUGACGGUACCUGACCAGAAAGCCACGGCUAACUACGUGCCAGCAGCCGCGGUAAUACGUAGGUGGCAAGCGUUGUCCGGAAUUAUUGGGCGUAAAGCGCGCGCAGGCGGUUUCUUAAGUCUGAUGUGAAAGCCCCCGGCUCAACCGGGGAGGGUCAUUGGAAACUGGGAAACUUGAGUGCAGAAGAGGAGAGUGGAAUUCCACGUGUAGCGGUGAAAUGCGUAGAGAUGUGGAGGAACACCAGUGGCGAAGGCGACUCUCUGGUCUGUAACUGACGCUGAGGCGCGAAAGCGUGGGGAGCGAACAGGAUUAGAUACCCUGGUAGUCCACGCCGUAAACGAUGAGUGCUAAGUGUUAGAGGGUUUCCGCCCUUUAGUGCUGCAGCUAACGCAUUAAGCACUCCGCCUGGGGAGUACGGUCGCAAGACUGAAACUCAAAGGAAUUGACGGGGGCCCGCACAAGCGGUGGAGCAUGUGGUUUAAUUCGAAGCAACGCGAAGAACCUUACCAGGUCUUGACAUCCUUUGCCACUUCUAGAGAUAGAAGGUUCCCCUUCGGGGGACAAAGUGACAGGUGGUGCAUGGUUGUCGUCAGCUCGUGUCGUGAGAUGUUGGGUUAAGUCCCGCAACGAGCGCAACCCUUGAUCUUAGUUGCCAGCAUUCAGUUGGGCACUCUAAGGUGACUGCCGGUGACAAACCGGAGGAAGGUGGGGAUGACGUCAAAUCAUCAUGCCCCUUAUGACCUGGGCUACACACGUGCUACAAUGGAUGGUACAAAGGGCUGCGAGACCGCGAGGUUUAGCCAAUCCCAUAAAACCAUUCUCAGUUCGGAUUGCAGGCUGCAACUCGCCUGCAUGAAGCUGGAAUCGCUAGUAAUCGCGGAUCAGCAUGCCGCGGUGAAUACGUUCCCGGGCCUUGUACACACCGCCCGUCACACCACGAG
rnacentral:rRNA from 1 species